UGGGGAAUCUUCCGCAAUGGACGAAAGUCUGACGGAGCAACGCCGCGUGAGUGAUGACGGCCUUCGGGUUGUAAAGCUCUGUUAAUCGGGACGAAAGGCCUUCUUGCGAAUAGUGAGAAGGAUUGACGGUACCGGAAUAGAAAGCCACGGCUAACUACGUGCCAGCAGCCGCGGUAAUACGUAGGUGGCAAGCGUUGUCCGGAAUUAUUGGGCGUAAAGCGCGCGCAGGCGGAUAGGUCAGUCUGUCUUAAAAGUUCGGGGCUUAACCCCGUGAUGGGAUGGAAACUGCCAAUCUAGAGUAUCGGAGAGGAAAGUGGAAUUCCUAGUGUAGCGGUGAAAUGCGUAGAUAUUAGAAAGAACACCAGUGGCGAAGGCGACUUUCUGGACGAAAACUGACGCUGAGGCGCGAAAGCCAGGGGAGCGAACGGGAUUAGAUACCCCGGUAGUCCUGGCCGUAAACGAUGGGUACUAGGUGUAGGAGGUAUCGACCCCUUCUGUGCCGGAGUUAACGCAAUAAGUACCCCGCCUGGGGAGUACGACCGCAAGGUUG
rnacentral:rRNA from 1 species